CCGCUGGAUUCGACGGCAGCCCUCAUCCCCCUCACACUCUCACCCCUCGCCCGUCUCACCCCCUCGUCCAAACCCUAGCUUUCCUCGCGCCGCACCCGAGCCGUGCCUCCUUCCCUCCGCACGCCGCCACAGCUCGCCGCCGACGGCCUCCACUUCUCUCCCACCCGCCUCUCUCCCACCCCAGACGGAUCGCCCAACACAUCCAUCUCUCCUCUCCUGCAACCCCCCUGUCUCUCUCCCCGCACUUCACAGCGACAACAAGCACUCCCAGAUCCCUCCGGAUGCCGGACUUGGAGGAGUCUGUGCAGCCCAAGCCCGCCGACCCCUCCGCCCCGCCCCCCGCCGCCGGUAGAAGAUGGAGGCCCCGAGCUCCCCCUACGCCUCCUCGCCCUAGCCGCGCCCAAGCGCGCGCCCCUCUCCUCCCCGCUGCCCCCGCAGGACCGCCCCGACGCCGACCACGACGCUGCCGAGCCCGAAGAGAAGCUGCAACCUGCAGAAUGCAAGAAAGGGCUGAUGUGUGUUGCGUCCUCGCCAUUUCUGGACAUCAAGGUUCUUGUCAUCGUCCUAUGUGAGCUGCGAAUAGCUCAUCCAUCCCACCAACCCCGAUAAUUUUUAUAUAUGCUUGCUAUGGGUUUCCAUUCAAAGCUAUAAGGUCGUUAACUGCUAUCUUAUUCAGUUUUUUUCUUCCCUGUAUCUAUCAAGCUUAGUCAUGUUUACACACAGCUUCAGUAAAUGGCAUUGUAUAUGUUUUUCUCAGUAAAUGCAAGACAUUGUAUUCAACACUAAUCUCCUAAGUAUGCCAUGAGCAUGUGAAUAGCUCAAUCCUGUUGUCUUUGUGCUUAGUGCUUACUGUCUAGGUGUUCUCAGUUUACAAAGGGUUUUGGGAGUACUUGCCUGUUGCAAAUGGAUGGGCCUGUUGUUAGAUGCAUGAGUCUGACACUCCAGUGAUUUCUAACUUAGACACUUGUAUUUAUGCAACUUUACCAACAAUUUUGUUUGCAACAGCAUUAUGCACAUGAGGCAGGACUAUACAAGUGAAUUGUCGCAGUAAGGUCCUUCCAUGGAUUUCAUGUGGCUCCUUGAGUUGUAAGAUGCAGCUCCAACAUUGAAUAUAUUUUGAAUGUUUCCAAAGAUACUCUCUGUUACGUUUACUUCAAUAUAUACAUGCAUGUUACUGAUAGAAGCUGGCUGCAGGAAUCUGUACACAUAUAUACUCUCUUGUACAGUGCAUUGCUAGAUCACUCACUAGGCAUUAUGUAAUACUACUAGGAGAUAUGGGUGAGGGACUAAAAGGAUGAUACGCUUCCAUGAAUUUAUUUGUAAGAAGUUUUUCUUGGCUGUGUACAAAUCAACCCAAAUGAAUUUAUGUUCUUUUUACUUCCAGAGUUAUAGUGCACUCAUACUGUCAUCACAUUGCGUGUUCUUGCUGCAUAUACCUCUCUAUUUGCUUAGGCAGACAACUACUUAUGUAAUAUGCAAACAACAACAACAACACAGCUAGUGAUGCUAAUUCUACCUCUUGUUACAAAAUCAGAAUUCCUCUUGUUGCACAUGACAACUCUGUUUCCUCUUGUUACAGAAUCAGAAUUCCUCUGCUUCUUAUGCUACUCUGCUAGAACUCUGCUUUUCUACUUGUCAUAUUGAAUAUACAUGUUCUAAACAUUAUACAGUACUUUCGUUGUUAACUCCAAACAACUUGGGAUCUUCUCUUCUACAUGCAGCAACUGGCUUACCAGUACGCCGCCAAGGGGGCAUGCCUUGCCCUGGUAGCAAGGAGGGGGCAUACCUUGCCCUGCAGACAGCAAGGGUGACUAGUGAUAUUCAGUUUUUGUGUGUGUUUUCUACACACACACACACACACACACACACAUGGUCCUUCCUUUUAAAUCUCCUCUGCUGCUUACUGACAGAGUACUAUGCAUGUACAGUAGUUGAGUAGUAGUGUGUAGGUUAUGGCUGUAGUGUGCUCUCACGUUGCAUAAAAUUCUGGUAUUGUGUUCAUAUAGCUAAUCUGCUGCUGUUGUGCAUAAAAUUCCAGGAUCUUUGCAUGUAAGUUCUGGCUGUAGUGUGCUCUCCCGUUGUACAUGCCCCUAUCUUUAGUAAGAUUAAAUUGCUACUAUUAAUGAUGAAUGGUUGAGUUUUAAAACUUGAAGCAACACCUACUUUCUGGUCCUGUAGUGUUUAAAACUGAUAAUUAUGAUGCAUUGGUCGGCCAUAUGGCCUUGUUUUUUAA